rnacentral:rRNA from 1 species
AUGUACGCUACGAAGAAAAUCAUGAAGGCGCUCUCGAUGGACUAUGAGAAAAUAGAUGUUUGUCCAAAGAAUUGCCUUUUGUUUAGGCAUGAGUAUGCGGAUGACAAGUACUGUAGGAAGUGUUGUUCCUCUCGGUAUAUUGAGGUGGUCGAUAAGCAUGGUCAGAAGCAGCAGCUAAAAAUCUAUGUGAAGGUUCUUUGGUAUCUUGAUUUUAUAAAAAGACUGCAGCGUCUUUUCAUCACCGAGGAGUCUGCCAAAAUGAUGAAGUGGCACAAGGAAAGGAAAAGGUACAAUCCAAAAAAAAUUGUACAUCCAUCAGGAGGUGAAGCAUGGAAGUCAUUCGAUAUAGAGUACCCGGAGAAAGCAGCCGAGGCUGGGAAUGAUAGAAUUGCUAUAACAGGUGAUGGAUUCAAUCCAUAUGGUAUGUCGUCUAAUCCAUACAGCUGUUGGCCCGUAUUUGUUAUUCUGCUGAAUCUCCCUCCCGACGCCAUAAUGCAACGCAAGACCAUGUUCCUGUCGCUUAUAAUUUCGGGGCCUGAAUAUCCGGGGAAGAAUUUGAGUGUGUUUAUGCAGCCGUUGGUGGAUGAUUUGCACCAUUCUUGGUACUUCCCGAGGUUGAGUAUGUUUAGAUGA